ACAUGCAAGUCGAGCGGUAGCACAGAGAGCUUGCUCUCGGGUGACGAGCGGCGGACGGGUGAGUAAUGUCUGGGAAACUGCCUGAUGGAGGGGGAUAACUACUGGAAACGGUAGCUAAUACCGCAUAACGUCGCAAGACCAAAGUGGGGGACCUUCGGGCCUCAUGCCAUCAGAUGUGCCCAGAUGGGAUUAGCUGGUAGGUGGGGUAACGGCUCACCUAGGCGACGAUCCCUAGCUGGUCUGAGAGGAUGACCAGCCACACUGGAACUGAGACACGGUCCAGACUCCAACGGGAGGCAGCAGUGGGGAAUAUUGCACAAUGGGCGCAAGCCUGAUGCAGCCAUGCCGCGUGUGUGAAGAAGGCCUUCGGGUUGUAAAGCACUUUCAGCGGGGAGGAAGGCGGUGAGGUUAAUAACCUCAUCGAUUGACGUUACCCGCAGAAGAAGCACCGGCUAACUCCGUGCCAGCAGCCGCGGUAAUACGGAGGGUGCAAGCGUUAAUCGGAAUUACUGGGCGUAAAGCGCACGCAGGCGGUCUGUCAAGUCGGAUGUGAAAUCCCCGGGCUCAACCUGGGAACUGCAUUCGAAACUGGCAGGCUAGAGUCUUGUAGAGGGGGGUAGAAUUCCAGGUGUAGCGGUGAAAUGCGUAGAGAUCUGGAGGAAUACCGGUGGCGAAGGCGGCCCCCUGGACAAAGACUGACGCUCAGGUGCGAAAGCGUGGGGAGCAAACAGGAUUAGAUACCCUGGUAGUCCACGCUGUAAACGAUGUCGAUUUGGAGGUUGUGCCCUUGAGGCGUGGCUUCCGGAGCUAACGCGUUAAAUCGACCGCCUGGGGAGUACGGCCGCAAGGUUAAAACUCAAAUGAAUUGACGGGGGCCCGCACAAGCGGUGGAGCAUGUGGUUUAAUUCGAUGCAACGCGAAGAACCUUACCUGGUCUUGACAUCCACAGAACUUUCCAGAGAUGGAUUGGUGCCUUCGGGAACUGUGAGACAGGUGCUGCAUGGCUGUCGUCAGCUCGUGUUGUGAAAUGUUGGGUUAAGUCCCGCAACGAGCGCAACCCUUAUCCUUUGUUGCCAGCGGUCAGGCCGGGAACUCAAAGGAGACUGCCAGUGAUAAACUGGAGGAAGGUGGGGAUGACGUCAAGUCAUCAUGGCCCUUACGACCAGGGCUACACACGUGCUACAAUGGCAUAUACAAAGAGAAGCGACCUCGCGAGAGCAAGCGGACCUCAUAAAGUAUGUCGUAGUCCGGAUUGGAGUCUGCAACUCGACUCCAUGAAGUCGGAAUCGCUAGUAAUCGUAGAUCAGAAUGCUACGGUGAAUACGUUCCCGGGCCUUGUACACACCGCCCGUCACACCAUGGGAGUGGGUUGCAAAAGAAGUAGGUAGCUUAACCUUCGGGAGGGCGCUUACCACUUUGAUUCA
rnacentral:rRNA from 1 species